GAGCUAAGGUGAGGCCGAAAGGCGUAGCCGAUGCACAGACGGUAGAGAUUCCGUCCCCACCGAAAGAUUUAAGCGCAGGGACACUUUUAGAAGGUCGGAGCCAGGUGUUGGUUCUGGUAGAGAUCGAGGGAAGAUUAGUACCGAAGUCCGGCUGGAUAAGAGGCGAGAAAAGCUGCGUGUAUAUCUAAGGUGCCCGUACCGCAAACCGACACAGGUAGGUAGGAAGAAGAUUCUAAGGCCAACGGGAGAAGGGUUGUUAAGGAACUCGGCAAGUUGACCCCGUAACUUCGGAAUAAGGGGUGCUCAUGAAAGUGAGCCGCAGAGAAUAGGCCCAGGCAACUGUUUACCAAAAACACAGGUUUGUGCUAAAUCGAAAGAUGACGUAUACGAGCUGACGCCUGCCCGGUGCUGGAAGGUUAAAAGGAGAUGUGCAAGCAUUGAAUUGAAGCCCCAGUGAACGGCGGCCGUAACUAUAACGGUCCUAAGGUAGCGAAAUUCCUUGUCAGGUAAGUUCUGACCCGCAUGAAAGGCGUAAUGAUUUGGGCACUGUCUCAACAGCCCGCCCGGCGAAAUUGUAGUACCGGUGAAGAUGCCGGUUACCCGCGACAAGACGGAAAGACCCCAUGGAGCUUUACUGUAGCCUAAUAUUGGGUUUCGGUGUUGCAUGCACAGGAUAGAUGGGACGCUAGGAAGUGAGUGCUUUGGCAUUCAUGGAGCGGCCGUUGGGAUACCAUCCUUGCGACAUUGGAAUUCUAACCUGCGCCUUUGAAUCAAGGCGGGGGACAUUGUUAGGUGGGCAGUUUGACUGGGGCGGUCGCCUCCUAAAGAGUAGCGGAGGCGUUCAAAGGUUGGCUCGUCCUGGACGGAAACCAGGAGAGAGAGUGCAAACGCAAAAGCCAGCCUGACUGCGAGACUGACGGGUCGAGCAGAGACGAAAGUCGGAGUUAGUGAUCCGGUGGUAUGUGAGUGGAAAUGCCAUCGCUCAACGGAUAAAAGUUACCCUGGGGAUAACAGGCUGAUCUCCCCCAAGAGUCCACAUCGACGGGGAGGUUUGGCACCUCGAUGUCGGCUCAUCGCAUCCUGGGGCUGUAUUCGGUCCCAAGGGUUUGGCUGUUCGCCAAUUAAAGCGGUACGCGAGCUGGGUUCAGAACGUCGUGAGACAGUUCGGUCCCUAUCUGUCGUGGGCGCAGGAUAUUUGAAAGGCGCUGUCCCUAGUACGAGAGGACCGGGAUGGACGAACCUCUGGUGCACCAGUUGUCACGCCAGUGGCACAGCUGGGCAGCUAUGUUCGGAUCGGAUAAACGCUGAAAGCAUCUAAGCGUGAAGCCGGCCUUAAGAUAAGAUAUCCCACUGAGACAAUCAGGUAAGACCCCUUGAAGACUACAAGGUUGAUAGGCACAAUGUGUAAGUGGCGUGAGUCAUUGAGCAAGCGUGUACUAAUAGGUCGAGGGCUUGACCC
rnacentral:rRNA from 1 species